rnacentral:rRNA from 1 species
UACGGGGGGGGCAAGCGUUGUUCGGAAUUACUGGGCGUAAAGGGCGAGUAGGUGGCCAUCUAAGUCAGACGUGAAAUCCCCCGGCUUAACCUGGGAACUGCGUCUGAUACUGGACGGCUAGAGUAUGGGAGAGGGAUGUAGAAUUCCAGGUGUAGCGGUGAAAUGCGUAGAUAUUAGGAAGAACACCGGUGGCGAAGGCGGCCCACUGGAUCGGUACUGACGCUGAGGUGCGAAAGCGUGGGGAGCAAACAGG